CCUGCGCUUCCACACCCUCCCCUCCAAAUGCUCUAUCGGUGGCGCUUCUCAGCCUUGCGCCGUCGUUGCACCGAACCUCCAUUGCACUGAACUUUCAUCACCCCGUCACACCCCUUCCUGGCUCUUCUAUGUGUGUUGCUCGCGUCAUUCCCUUUCGAACCCUAAUGUGCAUUUCUCCGUCACCGUCUUCAUCACCUCCGUCCCCAUCCUUUUCACCUUCUCCUGUGUUUACUCUUUCUACCUUCACGACCGAUCACUCAUUCAGUAGCACUAACAAUAACCAAGGGCGUCCACCGAGCAGCCAUUGAAGAAGCGAAAGCACAACACUCUCCCAGAAUCCCCACUGCCAUACCACCGCUGCUAGCACCGCCGCCAUAAUCUCCGCAAACCGUAGCUCGUUCGCCUACUCCUCCUCCUCCACCUCUGUCACAGGAUGAGGUCAUCACCAAGCGCAUGAACAAAGAUGAGGUUCGAACCAUGCUUGAGUGCUACCGUCGCAUCAAGCUCUUCUUGUCAAAGAAGGAAGGUGCUUUCAUCCAUACCCUUGAACAGAGCUUCUUCGCUCUCAUCAAUGCUUUCAGAGGGGUGAAGACACUCGCUCUGGAUUCACUAGCCAUCUCUAUGCCACCCUCACAAGGAAGGGAAUCACUACCUUCAUUGAUGACACCGACCUUCGCAAAGAUUUGCAUAGUGAAGCUUGGAGGACUAGAUGAAACACAAACACAAAGACAGCUGCAUCAUGAUGAUGAAGAAAUAGAGAAUGUUCAUCGUUCUUAUUUGUCUUUAGUGAAAAAAAGUGAGGAGGAAGCUUUGCUUCUUUACAGUUACAGGCACAGUAUGAAAGGGUUUGCAGCAUUGCUUAGCAGAGAAAAAGCGAAGAAGAGGAAAGACAUUUAUUGGAGAGAAAUAUGAAUGUAGGGCUUCAACAGAAGAUUGAAGAACUUCAGAAAAAUUUGAUGCAGGUUACCCAUGAAAAGGUGAAAGCUCUUGUGGAAUUUGCACAACUAAAGUAGGAGCAUCAAUUACUGAUAGAGAAACUGGAUCAGGAGAUUAAACACGGAAAAGCCAUGGUUAGCAUUGGAGAAAGAAAUCAUAUUACUCAUGAAAGAGACGGAAGUUUAAAAAACUUACUAAAGAGAACAUAUCUAAGUCGAUGGAUUGGCCCACUUGAUAAGAGCGGCAAUGAAGUCGACAGUAAUCCAAAUAAUGAAGGAAAAUUUCUUAAUAAAAGAUCCACCAGUAUGGAUUUUGCAAGGUAAGUGUUUUAUUGGUAGUCAUUGAAUCUGAAUUUAUUGCAUCGAUAAAUGAUUUUGGAAGGUAAUUUAAUCAUAUCUCUAAUCUAUUUGACUUAUAUGAAGCUACCACUAUGACCAAUAGUGAUUGUUUUCAUACUUCUGUCUAUUUAUGUGUAAUGUGUCUUGUCCAUCACAAUGAAGAUUGAAAUUGCAAUGCUUAAGGAAAGCAUGGAGUGUUUAACUUCAUCAAUUCAUAGGCUUCAUCUCUCUCUUUUCAAGACCCAAGGAAUCUGUUGUCUGUGAAGAUGUAGUUUCUGGUAUCUCAGAAAUCCUCAAUGAAAUUAUCAAUGAAGCAAAACUUGUAAAGACUGCACUUGGGAGCUCCUUACCCAUCAGUUGGUUAGGAGAAGGAGAUGCUGGUUACAUGGGAGAUAAUGCAGGCACUAGCACGACAUAUCAGGAAUGCACUAAAGGACUAUGAUGACGAUGACACUGAAGACUAUAGCUGAUAGUUUUAGUAUGGUUGAACAAUACACUGAGAAUUAUAGUUGAUGAUCAAUACACUUUGUUUAUGUUUUGAAUUAUAUUGGCUUGCUUGUUUAUAUCACUUUUCUUUUAGUUUGAUAA